GAAGUGCUGCUCUUCUGAAUUUGAUGUCUUUAGUUAUACUGAGGUCCCAAUUGCUCUCUUGGAUGUGUGUAAAAGAUCUCAUAACAGAGCAGCAAAGUUGUGUUCUGGUUAAUAUUUAUCCUGCAAUCAAUGUCCCAAAAGCAGAUUAUCUGGUUAUCUUCAUGCUGCAGUUUAUGUUAGCUUGCUGCGUGCAGAUUGGGUUCCUGCGAUCACUGUCACCAGACUUUCCACCUUGUAAUUUAAAGUUGCUGCGCAAGUAGAGAGAUUGGAAUGGAAAUCCUGUCGGAGAGAGGAACAGAACUUCUUCAAGGUGGGCGUGCCUGGAAAAGAGGUGGCGAUCCCGUACCUGGGUACCUUGUCCCUAAGGAGCAGAAAAGGAGGACCAAAUAGCAAACGAUAGCAAUCCAGAACUGCUGUUGCACUAUAUAUUUUCUUGUCAUGUGGCAGAACACAACCUCGAUAGAAUACUACACCAGACAUAGUGCUCAGGAUUUGUCACAACAGGAAGGAAAGCAUCUGUUCAAAUUCAGUAAAGAAAACAUGAUCAAAUUGGCACAUGAGGAAUGAAAGCAGCACCAGAGGACAAACUAAAGCAGGAAGAUGAUGUAUGUUUCUUUUCCUUGUUUGAGGGAACAAACUUCUUUUUGAGACAGGAGUUCUGCCUCCAGCAGGAUUAUUUGAGCAUCUCCUUUUUAUUAGAAAACAACAGAAGGGUGUAGGCCUGAAGUGUCAGCUUUCCUGCUCUUAAGAUGCUACUUGGCCUGCUGUGCUCCUCCAGCUCUACACCUUGUUAUCUCUGAUCUCCUCACAUAUCAUUCAGUGACUGCAUUUUUUCAGAAAGACAUGCUGUGAUGGCCUCUCUGAAUGCAAAGUUCCAUUGCUACUGGAAUUGAAAAAUAAUGGUUGAUUUAGCAUGAGUACAUUUGUUAUUGACAAUGUAAUGUGUUAACACUUUCAUCAUGUACAGUCCUUAAUUCAGGUUUGUGUCCUAUAUAAAACUCUAAAAGUGAA